rnacentral:tRNA from 1 species
UGGUAGCGCGUCUGACUCCAGAUCAGAAGGCUGGGCGUUCGAGUCGCUCACGGCUCA